GACGAACGCUGGCGGCGUGCCUAAUACAUGCAAGUCGAGCGGAUGGAAGGAAGCUUGCUUCCUAAAGUCAGCGGCGGACGGGUGAGUAACACGUGGGCAACCUGCCCCUAAGAUCGGGAUAACUUCGGGAAACCGGAGCUAAUACCGGAUAUGAUUAUGUCUCACAUGAGACAUAAUGGAAAGACGGUUUCGGCUGUCACUUAGGGAUGGGCACGCGGCGCAUUAGCUAGUUGGUGGGGUAACGGCUCACCAAGGCGACGAUGCGUAGCCGACCUGAGAGGGUGAUCGGCCACACUGGGACUGAGACACGGCCCAGACUCCUACGGGAGGCAGCAGUAGGGAAUCUUCCGCAAUGGACGAAAGUCUGACGGAGCAACGCCGCGUGAGUGAAGAAGGUUUUCGGAUCGUAAAACUCUGUUGUUAGGGAAGAACAAGUACCAUAGUAACUGAUGGUACCUUGACGGUACCUAACCAGAAAGCCACGGCUAACUACGUGCCAGCAGCCGCGGUAACAC
rnacentral:rRNA from 1 species